rnacentral:ncRNA from 1 species
GUGCGCUCCGGGGCUCGGUGGAAGUCCGAACCGGCGGUGACAGUCCGCGACCCGGCGCCCUCGCGCUCGAGGCGCCGGCCGACCCGGUGGAAUUCCGGGACCGACGGUGAAAGUCCGGAUGGGAGGAAGCGCAC